rnacentral:rRNA from 1 species
UACGUAGGGGGGCAAGCGUUGUCCGGAAUCAUUGGGCGUAAAGAGCGUGUAGGCGGCCCGAUAAGUCCGCUGUGAAAGUCCAGGGCUCAACCCUGGGAUGCCGGUGGAUACUGUCGGGCUCGAGUCCGGAAGAGGCGAGUGGAAUUCCUGGUGUAGCGGUGAAAUGCGCAGAUAUCAGGAGGAACACCAAUGGCGAAGGCAGCUCGCUGGGACGGUACUGACGCUGAGGCGCGAAAGCGUGGGGAGCAAACAGG